UGGCUUAAUUUGGGGUAACCAACUAAUCCUAAAAAAAUUCACGCAUACAUAGGAAGACAUCUCCCUCUCUCUCCCUUUCUUGCAGAGAUUCAGUCACACACACAAGAUCCAGCAUCUCAUUCUGGCCACUGAACUUUCUCUCCAUCGGUCUCUUCAUCGUUUAUUCACUUCGCGCUCAUUCUGAGGGAUGUUCAGAUGUUCCUUGUCCUGUUCGGACGGUUUUGACGGGAUUUCUGGGCCGAACAGGACUUGCAGAAAAAAAGGUGAAUAAUGCGGCCCCGAGUCACCCUUUGGUGGCUCACUUAGUCACUUACAUCUGAAACAAGCAUUUACAUUGUGGACACAUUAGGCCGUAAUAUUACGGUUGGUGAGGCUGAAAGAAGCAGAGUAACAAUUAUAGAGCUGCUACAACAGAGCCCAGAACAAGAUGCUGCAAGUGUACUGUUUUCUUCAACUAUAACCAACAAAAGGAAUUCUGUGAAGGUGAGUGUAGAGUUGGUGGUUGAGGCUGCGAAUCUCGAGUUUGCUAGCCAGCCGUUUGAGGUGCUGUACCACCCUCGCACAAGCACGCCUGAGUUCUGAGUGAAAGCGUCAACUGUAAACGCAGCAAUGCGGUUUAAGUGGUCUCCAGAAAUAAGUCAAGAUGGCUUUAGAUAAAAAGGAUUAGUCGCAAAUUAGCUGGUUCAUGGGCACGAUUUCUUUGUUUGAUGUCAAAGAACAGUUUCGUUGGCCGAAUUCACCUUGGAGGCUUCUUGAGGGAUACUCUUUAUACCGUUAGCUUUAUGAGUGAGAUAUUAAUUAACAUGUAUUUAUAAGUGAGAUAUUAUUGAUUAUGUAUGAAUUAUAACUAAACCGAAUGUUGAAAGAAACAAAGUAAAAUGAAAAGUUGAAACAAAAU
rnacentral:lncRNA from 1 species